UUACACUUAUAAUGCGAUAAAAAAAGUUCGGCAAUUAAUUAAUAAAUGUUAAUGAAUAGAUUUCUAAUUUUAUAAGGUGAAAUUUUUAAAGUUAGAGUAUAUUUGUCAUUAUUAUAUGAGGUUAACAAAUUUAGUUUUUAGACUAGGAUUAGAUACCCUAUUAUUCUAAGUUAGAUUAUGGUUGCUUGGUUAGUAGUAGAUAUAGCCUUGAAAAUUAAAGAAGUUGGCGGUAUUUUAGUCUAUUCAGAGGAAUCUGUCCUAUAAUCGAUGGUCCACGAUUUAUUUUACUUACUUUAAUUAGUUUGCAUAUCGCCGUGGGUUGAAUAUUUUUAAAAAAUUGUAAUGUUCAAUAAUUUUUAUAAGAAAAAAAUUCAGGUCAAGAUGUAGUUUAUAGGUAAGAAGAGAUGGGUUACAAUGAGUUUACUUAUACAGAUUGGUAGAUGAAAUUUUACUGUGAAGAUGGAUUUGAGGGUAAUUUUAUUUAAAUUAAUAARAUGAUUUAAGCUCUAAAAUAUGUACAU
rnacentral:rRNA from 1 species